rnacentral:rRNA from 1 species
GAUGAACGCUGGCGGCGUGCCUAAUACAUGCAAGUCGAGCGAAUGGAUUAAGAGCUUGCUCUUAUGAAGUUAGCGGCGGACGGGUGAGUAACACGUGGGUAACCUGCCCAUAAGACUGGGAUAACUCCGGGAAACCGGGGCUAAUCCCGGAUAACAUUUUGAACCGCAUGGUUCGAAAUUGAAAGGCGGCUUCGGCUGUCACUUAUGGAUGGACCCGCGUCGCAUUAGCCAGUUGGUGAGGUAACGGCUCACCAAGGCAACGAUGCGUAGCCGACCUGAGAGGGUGAUCGGCCACACUGGGACUGAGACACGGCCCAGACUCCUACGGGAGGCAGCAGUAGGGAAUCUUCCGCAAUGGACGAAAGUCUGACGGAGCAACGCCGCGUGAGUGAUGAAGGCUUUCGGGUCGUAAAACUCUGUUGUUAGGGAAGAACAAGUGCUAGUUGAAUAAGCUGACACCUUGACGGUACCUAACCAGAAAGCCACGGCUAACUACGUGCCAGCAGCCGCGGUAA